GUGAACGCUGGCGGUAGGCCUAACACAUGCAAGUCGAACGGCAGCACAGUAAGAGCUUGCUCUUACGGGUGGCGAGUGGCGGACGGGUGAGGAAUACAUCGGAAUCUACUUUUUCGUGGGGGAUAACGUAGGGAAACUUACGCUAAUACCGCAUACGACCUACGGGUGAAAGCAGGGGAUCUUCGGACCUUGCGCGAUUGAAUGAGCCGAUGUCGGAUUAGCUAGUUGGCGGGGUAAAGGCCCACCAAGGCGACGAUCCGUAGCUGGUCUGAGAGGAUGAUCAGCCACACUGGAACUGAGACACGGUCCAGACUCCUACGGGAGGCAGCAGUGGGGAAUAUUGGACAAUGGGCGCAAGCCUGAUCCAGCCAUACCGCGUGGGUGAAGAAGGCCUUCGGGUUGUAAAGCCCUUUUGUUGGGAAAGAAAAGAAGCAGGUUAAUACCCCGCUGUUCUGACGGUACCCAAAGAAUAAGCACCGGCUAACUUCGUG
rnacentral:rRNA from 1 species